GUCAUCGUCAGCUUCUUCAUAGACUUCGGCGAACAACCCAAUGUGCACCUGUGGGAAGCCCACAAAACUUAGAACAUCGAAUACGCCAAGAAAUUCGUGUCAAUCAUUUUUUGGGUGUCCAAACUACAAUACAGAGAGAUUACCACACUGCAACUAUUCAAAUGGGCAAAUCGCAGUGAGGAAAGAGAAAAAAAUCUUAUGAAAAUAAAAAUUGAGUUGUUAAGGAAUGAGGAAGAGCUUCGAA